ensembl:snoRNA
AUCCCUUUAUAGUGAGCAUGACGAUUGGGUGUUCACAUGCAUGUGUGAGAUGUGCCACCCUCGAAUCUUGUUAGACGUUGGCACAUUACCCGUCUGAGC